GGCUUAUCUCCCCCAAGAGUUCACAUCGACGGGGAGGUUUGGCACCUCGAUGUCGGCUCAUCGCAUCCUGGGGCUGUAGUCGGUCCCAAGGGUUGGGCUGUUCGCCCAUUAAAGCGGUACGCGAGCUGGGUUCAGAACGUCGUGAGACAGUUCGGUCCCUAUCCGUCGUGGGCGUAGGAAAUUUGAGAGGAGCUGUCCUUAGUACGAGAGGACCGGGAUGGACAUACCUCUGGUGUACCAGUUGUCGUGCCAACGGCAUAGCUGGGUAGCUAUGUGUGGAUGGGAUAAGUGCUGAAAGCAUCUAAGCAUGAAGCCCCCCUCAAGAUGAGAUUUCCCAACUUCGGUUAUAAGAUCCCUCAAAGAUGAUGAGGUUAAUAGGUUCGAGGUGGAAGCAUGGUGACAUGUGGAGCUGACGAAUACUAAUCAAUCGAAGACUUAAUCAA
rnacentral:rRNA from 1 species